AGUUUCCAUGGCAACAGGCUAUGAUGUCACAGAUGCCUGCAACAGCAGAAUGAGAAGAAAGCAGGGAAAUGCUUUGACACAUGGAGUUGAUAUUGUAAAAGGAUGAUAGCUAGUCAUUCAUGCGGUUGGCUGCCAAGAUGUCCCCUGCAGUUAAAGACUGAUCCUCGCCCAGCUCUGGAGAAUACGAGCAACCAGUGCAUCAGCUCUGUAUCGGCCAAAUAAAAUCAAUCUGGCUCUCAGAUGCAUUGGAAACUUCAAAUUAAAGCAGGACAAAUAGCCUAAGUAUGCCCUAAUCCUUUAAAAAUAGUUUCUCAGUGCCCAUACCUAAUUAUAUAGCUCUUGGCAAUUGAACUGUCUUUCAAAGAAGUGAGUAUGUAAUAGCACCCACUUCAUAAGAAAGAAAAUUUUAUGAAGUUGUUUGAGUCAGAACCACAAUCCUAAUAAAAUGUAUUUUAUG